AUGACUAAGAGGUGGAGGCUAACCUAUAGGACCCCCAAGACUUUAGUCGUGUGAGAAGUAGAGGAAAAUCUACCAAAGGGCUAACCAAUAGGACCCUCAGUUUACAACACAAUGACCCUUAAUUGGCCAAAGAAGAAAUUAACAAGCAUCCAUGAUACACAGAGAUGUUGAGGAAAGCAAGAUAACUUUUUUCAUUGAAAUAUUUAUAAGAAAAAGAUAGUGCCUGAAGCACCACCUUACAAGAAGAUAAAGAAAAAAGAAGAAGAAAGAGAAAGGAAGAGCAGAAGAAUAGAUGGAUGAGAGAUGAAAACCCACCUACAACAAAGGAAGGAGACGAAAAAAAUGAAGCAAUACCAGAACCUUCAAAAACCUCUUCGGAGACUCACACCAGGAGAAGAAAGAAAACUUUUUGUUCCAGGAACUACGGCAACAGACAAAGGAAUCAAAAAGUCUGGCAG
rnacentral:lncRNA from 1 species